UACGGAGGGUGCAAGCGUUAAUCGGAAUUACUGGGCGUAAAGCGUGCGCAGGCGGUUUGUUAAGUCCGCUGUGAAAUCCCCGAGCUCAACUUGGGAAUUGCAGUGGAUACUGGCAAGCUGGAGUAUGGUAGAGGAAGGUGGAAUUCCCGGUGUAGCAGUGAAAUGCAUAGAGAUGUGGAGGAACACCGAUGGCGAAGGCAGCCCCCUGGGUCAAGAUUGACGCUCAUGCACGAAAGCGUAGGGAGCAAACAGG
rnacentral:rRNA from 1 species